GGUAGCUUCUUGUUUUGAGGAUAAUGCAGGUCCACAGUGCAUAAUUUGUACACGGAAUGCCUGGUCAAUCCUACCGAUAACUUGUCUCCUGAUCACCUUCAUCAAAAAUGAUGGUCCCACUAACAGCAUCCAUUUAGGUAAAGUACUAUCUUUUUAUCUGACAGGAUUGGUUAUCCACUAUACUUACAAGAUUAUUCACUAAAGUAAGAAUUCAA